UACGUAGGGUGCAAGCGUUAAUCGGAAUUACUGGGCGUAAAGCGUGCGCCAGGCGGUUUUGUAAGUUUGUCGUGAAAGCCCCCGGGCUCAACCUGGGGAAUUGCGAUGAAGACUGCAAGGGCUUGAAUCUGGCAGAGGGGGGUAGAAUUCCACGUGUAGCAGUGAAAUGCGUAGAUAUGCGGAGGAACACCCGAUGGCGAAGGCAAUCCCCCUGGGCCUGCACUGACGCUCAUGCACGAAAGCG
rnacentral:rRNA from 1 species